rnacentral:rRNA from 1 species
UACGUAGGGCGCAAGCGUUAUCCGGAAUUAUUGGGCGUAAAGAGCUCGUAGGCGGUCUGUCACGUCGGCUGUGAAAUCCCGAGGCUCAACCUCGGGUCUGCAGUCGAUACGGGCAGACUAGAGUACUGCAGGGGAGACUGGAAUUCCUGGUGUAGCGGUGGAAUGCGCAGAUAUCAGGAGGAACACCGGUGGCGAAGGCGGGUCUCUGGGCAGUAACUGACGCUGAGGAGCGAAAGCGUGGGGAGCGAACAGG